rnacentral:lncRNA from 1 species
CAAACUUUUCAGAAUCUAACAUUCUUGAACUAAAAGCUGAAGAUGUAGAAUGUUCACAGCCAGAUCAGGGUUGGGGAUCCCUGUUGAUAGAAUCUGAUGAAACUCCAGGAUCUUCAUGCACUUUGAAAAGAUUUGAGUACGAUACAGAUUCAAGUAAUAUUGAAUCAUCAGCUGGUUGCAGUGAAAUUGACAUUUCAGAAUCUAAAGCUAUUGAUGUCAAUACUGAAGCUACAGAAUGUAUUCAAGAAGAUCAAGGUUGGGGAUCACUUUUGUUAGAAUCUGACAAGGCAUGUGAACCAUCAUGUGCUUUGAAAGAAUUUGACCAUGAAAUAGAAUCUAGUAAUACUGAUUCAUCAGCUGCUGGAGGUGAAAGGACUCUUUCUGAACCUAAGCCUAGUAAUGCCAGUGGCAAGGCAAGGGAAUAUUCUCAAAAAGAUGAAGACUGGGCAUCUUUAUUGUCAGAAUCAGAAGAGACUCCUAAGUCAGCUGACUCUUUGAAAGAAUUUGAAUAUGAAGCCGAAUCAUUUCAUAUUGAUUCACCAGCAGGUGGCGUCAUAAGCAUGGCCAAUGAAGCUACCUAUGGUGCAUUUAGUAAUGAUGAUAAGGAGUUCGAAUCCAUAGAUAGGACAGAAAUGUCAAGAAAAGAAUACAAGGAAGAAGAUAUAAAAUUAAAGGAAGCCAAAGAUCAGUCUUCAUCAGAGAUGGAUAAUGUUCUCAUUGCUGGGGAAGAAAAUGUAUCUUUGAGGAAGGAUAUCUUGGUAACACGAGAAAGCAAUUUCACUUCACAGGAAGCUCCAGCAGUUGCAGAACAAACAGAUUCUCUGGAAUCCUUUUCAGCAGACUCCUCAGAUACAUUUCAGUCAAUCUCCAUAAUAAAUGAAAGUGAAGGGCAGUCUACUCUGGAGACUGAAUGGGAUUCUUUUUAUUUAGCAGAAAAAAAUUCUCCUCUUGUGCCUCAAAAAUUGGGAGAUGAAAAGAAAUUGCCCAGAAGUCCUGUGCAAGAUCAGGAAUGGACAAUGGUGGGCCAAAAUGGAGCAGAUGAUGUAUCACCUGAAGAAAUCUGUAGCAGGACAGAGACAAUAGAGUCACUGUCUAGACAUUCCAUGCAAGAUCUUUUAAGCCAGAAAACAAUCUCUGUGACACAAGCUGAAACUCUAGUAAAAAGGAAGCCUCAGAAAUCACUGAAACAAGAAGAUGAGUUUUCACACAAUAGAGGGACAGAUGCUCUUUUAUUGCAGGCUGUUGCUUGUGAUGGUGAAUUGGAUGUUCAUUCACAGCAGUGUCCUGGAAAUAGCAUGGUAGUGGAACAAGAAAUGGAAGAGGAGACCCAAUUUGUUGGCAGUGAAAGAAAACUCAGUCAUAUAACAGGAUCAGUCGAACAAAAGAGCUUAAAAUGCCCAUUUUGUGGUAUGAAGGCUCAGUGAUCCCAGGACAAGGGGCAACUGGACA